rnacentral:rRNA from 1 species
AUGUUAGUCUUUGUAGUAAUACAAGGCAGACGGCUCAGUAACGCGUAGUCAACCUAACCUAUGGACGGGAAUAACUUCGGGAAACUGAGGAUAAUACCCGAUAGAUCAUUAUGCCUGGAACGGUUUAUGAUUCAAAUGAAUUUCGCCGUAGGAUGGGACUGCGAGCUAUCAGCUUGUUGGUGAGGUAAUGGCCCACCAAGGCGAUUACAGCUACGGGCUCUGAGAGGAGUAGCCCGGAGAUGGGUACUGAGACAAGGACCCAGGCCCUAUGGGGCGCAGCAGGCGAGAAAACUUUGCAAUGAGCGAAAGCUCGACAAGAUUAAUCCGAGUGGUUCCUGCUAAAGGAACCUUUUGUUAGU